rnacentral:lncRNA from 1 species
CAUUUUUGUGCUUGUUUUAUUGGAAGCAAGACUCCAGUUGCAGGGCUGGGGGAGGAGGCCUGGAGGGUUCAGUCCUGGGUCUCCCUCUGGGCCAGCAGGGGGAAAAGGGGUGUUAAAAGAGCUAGAACCCUCAGAGAUGCUCCUCUGAAGCAGGGGAAGGAAAACUAGAAAGGAAAACUGUCCCAGGGCGGGGAGUGGAAUAGGACCCCCACAUCUCAGACUCUCCUACCCUCAAGCAGUCAAGUCUCACCCCCUGCCUUCUCUGUCAACGGUGGGGGUGAUUCCAAUAACUCUUCUCGGCUUCCGCACUCCAGGUGCCCUUCGUGAAUGCUGGGUGGCUUUAACCCUUGGGGGUCCCAAUCAGGUUUCCAGAAUCCCACUGUCCACCAUUCUCCCCCAAAGAAGGUCCCAGAAAAGGUGAAGGUGAAGUUCCGUGUCUUCAGGCAACACGGGCAUAAGCAGCAAUCAUCGCACGAAGUUUCCCUAAGGUCGUCGGGGAUCCUCUCCUGCCACUUCUGGGGCCCCUCUCUUGUCGCCUUAAGGUCCAUGCUAUCUGCCUUGAGGAGCUGUGUCCAGGUUGUGGGUUCCGGAGGACCGAGGAGUGAAAGGCUGGAGGUGCAUUUGAGGGUGGAGGCGCUGGCGGAAGAUCCCGCCCACAGUCCGGAGUUUUAGGCCGUCCGAUCCUCGUCCGCAGCCCCUGGCUCGGGUUGCGAUCGCUUCGCGGAGCCUUCUCCAGCUGCGGGUUCCCCUAGGCUCCUCUUGGACGUUGGCGCGGCUGGCGGGGACGACGGACCAGGAUCGGGGUUCGGGGGCUGGUAGCCGGGCUGUCGCGGAUCCAGCGCGUCCUUGGAAAGUAGGAUGGCGAGGCUGGGCACGUUCUUAAGUACGCUGAGACUAGCGACCGGCUCGCCAGGCGUCUGACCCUGCGUGGGCCCAGGCGGGAGGCUCUGCCACACCUCGCGCACGCUCCGGUAGCGCAGCCGCGUGACCUGGUGCAGGCCCGCCAGGCGGCGCUUGAGGAUCUCGGCGCACGUGACGGUUUUGGUGGUGGCCCGGCCGCAGCCGCUGAAGACGAUGGCGCGCGUGGCUGGCUGCGCCAUGCUGGCGGUGGCGAAGGCCAUCAGGUUCCGGAUCUUGCUGCCUUCCUUGACCCGCAUGUGCACCGCGCCCGGCGCCAGGUCUGCGAAGGGGCCAGAGCCCGGGCCGCCCCCUCGGCCCCGCCCCCGCUGGCGCCUCUUCGGAGCGCACCUUACGGAAGUUCUCCAUGCGCCGUCGUCGCCGGGACCGCCGGCUUUGCCAUGGGGCGGCCUCAACCCCGGGGCUGCAUGGCCGCCGGUCUCGCCCUGCAAGGGCCCGCAGGGGUAAGGGCGCGGAAGCAGCUCGGACGCCGGCGGGCGGGUUGGGACGGCGCGAUCUCGGCCCCACUUCUCUCGAGCGGGCGCCGCUCUACUCCGCGCUCUCGGCGCCCGGUGCUCCGCGCCUUUAGCUGAGGCCCCGCCCCUGCCGCCAGGCCCCUCCCUGACCCGGCCCGGCCCGCCCGGGCCCCAGCCUCACCAGCCUUUAGUGGCAAGUCCGGGUCCUCAGCUACGCGGGCGUGGGAGCUGGCGUGGGAGCGGGCGCGCUGCGGGGCGCAUGGGCAGGUGAAGGUGAAGUUCCACGACAAUCGCCAUCAGCGCUCUCCGAGCCAACCCUCACAAACCGGCAGCCUAAAUAAAAGCUGCGCUUGCGGUGCAAACACCAAUUCAAACCCGGUAUCCUAGCCCUUCCCCGUUGCAGUUGAAGGCCGCCCCUCGUCCCCUCCCAGGGAGAAAUUUCCGAGAGGCUUGCUGGGGCCUCGCCCCUCCUCUCCCCGCUGGGGAACACCCCCACCUUUUUUCCGCUCCCAAGUAUUCUUGCCUCAAGGACAGCUAGUGCGCGGUCAGCAGAGUGCGGGAGGAGCUGGCUGCGGCUCCACUCCGCGCCUCCCCUC